rnacentral:rRNA from 1 species
GACGAACCGUGCGAACGUUGUUCGGAAUCACUGGGCUUAAAGGGCGCGUAGGCGGGCUGCCAAGUCCGGGGUGAAAUCCCCCCGCUCAACGGGGGAAUGGCCUUGGAUACUGGCGGCCUGGAGGAAGGUAGGGGCAGAUGGAACUCUCGGUGGAGCGGUGAAAUGCGUAGAUAUCGGGAGGAACGCCGGUGGCGAAAGCGAUCUGCUGGACCUUUUCUGACGCUGAGGCGCGAAAGCCAGGGGAGCAAACGGG